rfam:Ictidomys tridecemlineatus contig021621, whole genome shotgun sequence.
GUGGCUGUGGCUCAGUGGUACAGCACUUGCCUCACAGGUAUGAGACCCUGGGUUCAAUCCUCAGCACCACA